rfam:Myotis lucifugus cont2.5368, whole genome shotgun sequence.
GGCAAUUCUUGGGUGAUGCACCUGGAAUUGGGCUCCCUCCUCUCUGGUUCCGGGUACAUCACCCGAGAACCACA